ACACGUAGGGGGCGAGCGUUGUUCGGAAUCAUUGGGCGUAAAGGGCGUGCAGGCGGUCCUGCAAGUCCGGCGUGAAAGACCCCGGCCCAACCGGGGGGACGCGCUGGAAACUGCGGGGCUUGAGGACAGGAGGGGAUGCCGGAAUUCCAGGUGUAGGGGUGAAAUCUGUAGAUAUCUGGAAGAACACCAAUGGCGAAGGCAGGCAUCUGGCCAUGUACUGACGCUGAGACGCGAAGGUGCGGGGAGCAAACAGGUUUAGAUACCCUGGUAGUCCGCACAGUAAACGAUGUGCACCAGGUGGCGGGGGGUCGACCCUCGGUACCGUAGCUAACGCAUUAAGUGCACCGCCUGGGGAGUAUGCUCGCAAGGGUGAAACUCAAAGGAAUUGACGGGG
rnacentral:rRNA from 1 species